CUCUUGCUUCCCUAUCCCUUCCCAUGUUUCUCUUCACAACCAGAAUGGCAUGACCAGCUGACGGUUUACUAGCAUCUGAAGUAGGAUGGCCUUUCCAGGUUCAUUACAGAGUGGCCAAGGCAUGGCUUGUCAGCCUCAACAAGUGCUCACUCACCCCUGGGCCUCAGAGAUCGAAGUCCAGAGGGAAAACCUGAUGUUAUUCAAGGUUAGGAACAAAAGACUAUCAUUCCUGUCCUCAAAGAAUCCAACCUACUUGGGAAGACAAGGAAUUUAGUCACUGCGUGAACACACAAAGUAAUCCUUGCCAAGAACGGAAAGAAAUAAUGCAAGAAGAAGUGACCAGAACAGACGAGGAGAGGGGUGACGAACUGCUAAGUCAGAAAGACCAGCUUUUCCUGGAGGUGAAGAAUACACUCGGAGGUGUAGAAACCAUAUCCUGUGUUUACUACAGUAGAUGUGGGACCUGGGUUAAUCAGAGAUAUUGGUAGACUGGUCACAGAAUGGAUUUGGUAGAAGUAGAGAAUGAAGGCUUCAUCAAUAAUUCUAUCUAUGGGCCACAUUUUCAAGAAUGCUUCUCUUCUGUGGCAUCCUAGAUUGUAUUGUAGACAGCUGCUAGACUUCCUACCAGAAAGUUAAUUCCCACAAACAGCUGAUCCCAGGAUUCAGUGAUGACCAAGAAAAAAACUGCAAGUGCUAACUGACGAACCUUAAGAAUAAAACAAAGCAAGAGAGCAUCAAAACUUACCAGCAAAUGAAGACUAUUCACAAGAAAAAUGUUGCUACAAUGCAGAAUAUUGUGACCAAAUAUUUGACUACCAAUUGAAAGAAAAACAUACACAAAAUAACUAUACCUACAAAUAAAAAGUUCAAAGAAAAAUAUAAAAAUUUGGGGAAGAGGUGACAAGAUAAUAUGAGAAGACAACAUUUGAAUGGUCACAUUGGAGAAGGAAAAAAUAGCUAUCAAAGAAAUAAACAAAAAAAAAAUGAAAGAAAACCAAUGGAGAGCAUCUUAUCUGAUGUGAAGAUGUUGAAGAAGGAAUGAGAGAAAUUAUAAAAAUGAAUGCAAAUUCAAAAUAGACAGGUUUGAUGCAACAUUAUAAUUGGAAAAGAAAGGCAAAAGGCCUUCAGUAUUACUUCUUAAAAGAAUCAUUAAAACACACUGAUUUAAA